UCCUCGCUGGUAUACAUGCAUCUCAUUCAGUCUGUUCGUUGUACAACUUGUAGUCUCCUCAAUCCAGAAGUAGGAAUUCACAGAAAAAAAUGCUUAUCUGAAUUCAGGUGUACAGCCAUAUAUUGUUGUGGAUUUUAGGUUGGAUGCUCACAUAAGAGCUUUAGUUGCAGAUGCAUCUUUGCGUGCUUGUUCUGCUUGAGCCCGCCGCCUCGCCAUGAAGCCCUCUGCUGCAGCCUCUCACUUCACUGUCGACGACACUCUGCUUCAACCCGUCUCUGUCCAGUACCGGACAAACCUGUUGUAAAGACACUUGAGAUGGAGGCCUGAUUGUUGCAGUUUCAAUAACUCAGGGAGCACCUCCUUGCUGGCAAC